GUAACAUCUGCCACAUUUUUCUUUGCCUUGCCACUCAACAAGAGCAGGUACAACCUCUUAUAAAAGUUGUGUAGUCACUAUUGCCCUGUUUAAUAAAAGAAGCCCCAUGAUAUAUCACUACAUAAUUUCAUAAAUUUAGUACCUUAAAUUACUUGUGUACCUAAAAAAAAACCUUACCUGUCACUUCUCCAGGUAAAAACAAAUGUGUAAUUGUAGCAACUGUUCUGUUCUCAUUAACAGUGUAAAAAAAAAAUUAUUGCAAGAAUCUUCAGUCAACCUCAUUCCUUUGCUAGAAGCAGAUAAAAGCUUGUCCUAAGCUAGCCUACUUUGUGACACUGUGGUCUAUCUUGUCCAUCUUUCAGAUUUUUAGCACAUUGACUGUCAUUGACUCAUCUUUCCAGCUUGGGAAAA